CUCCGCUCCCGCUCCCGCCCCCGCCCCCGCCCCGCUCGGUCCCGCCGUGCCCUGGAGAUGCUCUCGGGGCUGCGCCGCCGCUUUUUCCCCCCGGAAGCGACCCACGGCGGCAGAUCCGACGGAGAUCGUCCCCGGGGAAAUGAAGGGGAGGUUUUCCUGUUGUGAGCCUAAAUACCGAGUCUACUCUGCUUUUUCCAUCAGGUGACGAAGCUUAUGGAAAAAAAGACCAAAGGCCUCGAGGGUGACUUCUUACCAGGGAUGUUAUUCUUGACCCCCCGGGGCAAAGGGAGGUGUUCACCUGGUCAGCAUCAGGAGCCAUCCUAACUGAGGCCCUGGCUCUCUCUUUUCCUUCGGUUGCCGUGGAUGUGCCGGACGCCUCUGGCAGGACUAACCCUGUGGCUUUAAGGUCCAGCGUGCCGUGUGCCUGCAGUAUCCUGUACAAGACAAAGCUGCCUUUCCUCGUGGGAAUGGACUGGCCGGGCUUUGGCAAUCUGGCCCCUCGAAAGACUAAAGUGACCUCUUCCAACAGGGGAAGACUUUCUGGCAAGCGGUGCCAGAAAGAACUGGAGUUUCUGGAGAAUAAAAGCUGGAAGCGUGCCCCUGAAAA